AUUGUCCGAAGGUCAAACGCAACUUUUACACAAUUUUGAGUCCACACGAAAUCACAAUAUGAUGCAAUAUAAACGACGUUUUCUCGCUACUUCUGAAGAUAUUGUUGCAAUGAUAUUAUUUUCAUAGAUUAUAUCGUCUGUUUAAACAGAUCAUUUACAAAUAGAUGUGACACGACAAAGUGAUGGUGAUAUUUUGACGUUUGAGGAUAGAGUUGACUGCGUGUCGCUGAAUGCCCAGUGCUUACCGAAGAACAAACGAGAGAUUGGACGAAACAUAUGUGAGAGCUGUAAAUGUUUGUCGAGUUAUACAACGUAUGUUUCCAAUGAGAAACAGUGUAUAAAUAUAAACGGAAUUCCAGGUCUAAACUGUCAAACACUUCAGAAACAAGUUGCCAGUGUUGGACAAGUUAACGAACCUGACGAUCAGUGGACCAAUUCUAGCGUAUCGUUGUGAAAUCAAAGAAAAAGAAAGGAACCCAGAGGUAAAUUCAGGCAGUGGAGAUACUUGGUCUUGGAUACGAAUGACGGAUGUUGAUUUCUCUUUAAGGAGCUCCAGCAGAAAUCCUCCUCGUCUUAAAAAUUGGCAGGUAAAAUUCAAAGACAGUACCAUUUCUAAAAUGCUGUCAAAGUACGUUGGUAGAAUUGUGAAGUUACAAAUCAGUUGUAAAAUGCGAUGGAAACAAAGAUAUUACACAGAUUUAUGUAUGAUAUUCAAGAUAGCUGGCUCAUUCGUUGGAAAUUCAACCACUGCCAGACAUCCUAGUGACCGCCCCUAUUCCCAUAUUUCUUCGAACCCAACCACCAUCGAAACAACUAUAUCAUCUGAUUAUAGUACUAUAUCACCAGUCACAGUGAAGACAUCAGAUCGAUCAUCGGAGAAAAAUACGGUUGGAAAUCAGGAAGGCAGUGUUAGAGGAAAAAACAAUCAAUUAAUUUGGAUUCUAAUGCCAAUUGUUAUUGGCAUUGUAGUUAUAUUGAUCGCGGUGCUUUUCUAUAUAUGUUACAAAAGAAGGAAAACAAUACAAUCAAAUGCAGAAUACCCCAGACGAGACAUUAUGCAACACGAAUAUGAUGUACCUGUAAUUACAAAACCAACACACAAUGAAGGACACAGAAGCAAUCAGAACACGCGAGAAGAGCAUUUUAUGAAACGUUUUCAGAAAUGCCAUAUGCC